CUUAACACAUGCAAGUCGAGCGGUAGCACAAGGGAGCUUGCUCCCUGGGUGACGAGCGGCGGACGGGUGAGUAAUGUCUGGGAAACUGCCUGAUGGAGGGGGAUAACUACUGGAAACGGUAGCUAAUACCGCAUAACGUCGCAAGACCAAAGAGGGGGACCUUCGGGCCUCUUGCCAUCAGAUGUGCCCAGAUGGGAUUAGCUAGUAGGUGGGGUAAUGGCUCACCUAGGCGACGAUCCCUAGCUGGUCUGAGAGGAUGACCAGCCGCACUGGAACUGAGACACGGUCCAGACUCCUACGGGAGGCAGCAGUGGGGAAUAUUGCACAAUGGGCGCAAGCCUGACGCAGCCAUGCCGCGUGUGUGAAGAAGGCCUUCGGGUUGUAAAGCACUUUCAGCGAGGAGGAAGGUGGUGAACUUAAUACGUUCAUCAAUUGACGUUACUCGCAGAAGAAGCACCGGCUAACUCCGUGCCAGCAGCCGCGGUAAUACGGAGGGUGCAAGCGUUAAUCGGAAUUACUGGGCGUAAAGCGCACGCAGGCGGUUUGUUAAGUCAGAUGUGAAAUCCCCGGGCUCAACCUGGGAACUGCAUUUGAAACUGGCAAGCUAGAGUCUCGUAGAGGGGGGUAGAAUUCCAGGUGUAACGGUGAAAUGCCUAGAGAUCUGGAGGAAUACCGGUGGCGAAGGCGGGCCCCUGGACGGAAACUGACCCUCAGGUGCGAAAGCAUGGGGAGCCAACAGGAUUAGAUACCCU
rnacentral:rRNA from 1 species